GGGGGUAUAGCUCAGUUGGGAGAGCACCUGUUUUGCACGCAGGGGGCCAGCGGUUCGAGUCCGCUUACCUCCACCA
rnacentral:tRNA from 1 species